AGGAGCCCCCCCACGGCAGGCCGUUUGUUCCCCUGAGGCCCUCGUAUCCUGCAACUCUUUUGCGUUUCUGUAGCACUGUUUGUGUGCUGCUCUCCCCUGGCUAAUCCUUCUGUCGCUCUUGGUGUUUCUUUUUUUAAAUCUGAUUGUACUUGCUCUUUCCACUGUACUGUUUUCAGAUACUAGCUUUUCUCCCGAAACACGUGCUUAAAAUUGUUGUUUCCAAGAUGGGUGAAGAACUAGAUAACGCUCAAAGGUGAAGCUGGUGGGUAGAGAAAGAGAUUGAGAAUUUGGGGCCUGAAUGUCGUUGGCUGCUCGAGGGAUGCAACAGAAGAAAACUCAGAUGUGAUAGGAUCACAUCCUGGAACGGGAAUAAAUCCAGGAGAUGACAGCAAGCAGAAGGAAUUUUUGUGAGGUUCUUUCUGAGAGCACUCCCCCACAUCACUCUGUUAAGGGUUACAUUUUCUGCAACUCCACUUGCUCUCCUGUAGAUUCUGUUUCUCCUCACUUUUUGAAGAGUAACACCCAGAACUAGAUAUAGAACUCUACUUGAAGAGUGCUCUCAAAGGAUCAUUUCACAUGCCUUAUGUAUAUGAUAAUGUAUAUAGAAUUAAAUAAGUCAGAUAAAUGAAUGUGAUAAGACUAGACAGUUAAUGAACAAGUCGUCCACAUAGCACUUGCAGGUUAUUCUUCAAAUUUUGGUUAGUAAUAUCACGCUAUUUUCAGGUGAAAACAUGGAUUAAGAUAAGCAAAUAAGAGAAGUAUAGUGCAAUUUAAGUAGGGAGAAGCCUAAAGAGGUGAUCUGAUCCAAAUCCUUGCUAAGGACACAGCUAAUUUUUCUCAUAUAUAUUUUUUUUAAUGAGGAAAAAACAAAUGGUCUUAUCAAAAGGAUGUGCUAAUAUUGCACUGAGGAGUGAUGAUGCCUGUAUAACAAUUGCACAGAUCUGCACUGUUGUCUGUCUUGUAAUGCCUUAUGCCAAAUAAAAAAAAAAGCUCAGUUUUGAAAAAAAGCUAUCAACAUUUCUAUAACAUACGAUGAUGGACUGAGGGUCAAGAAACCUAUGUUCUUGCCCAUGUCUGCCACUGUUUGGCUGCUGACCUUGGACAGCUUUGUGUCCCUUCAUCAUGAAAUUUGAUAUUUCUGAUGUCCUAUUUAGAACCUAUAAAAUCCAAAAGACAAGAAGAAGGUCUUUCAUUAUAUAUUUACCUCAUAUCGGAUAAGUCGUGAUGACUGAAUCACAAAAUAAUUUAGGUUGCAUGGGACAUUGGAUGUGAUCUAGUCCAAUUCCUGCUCAAAGCAGGCCCCAUUAGAUCUGGUGGCUUAGAGAAUUGUAGCGUGUCUGUCCAGAACUUGUGGACCACUAUUUCUGAACUCUUCUUACCUCUUUGGGGAUUUUAGUAACUCUUAGACUUUUUUGGCUGUAAGGGACCAUGAACUAAUCAGUGUAGUUAAGAACCAUAUUCCCUAAAUCAAAUAUCUUGAACAGAAUAACUCCUGACUCUUCAAAAGUAAAUCCUAUGCAAACAUAAAUCUUCUUUCUUGUCCAGAAUUUUGUUUGCUUCAGAUAAAACCGUUAACCACAACUUUUGACUAAAUAUAACAGGUUUUCUUUGGUUUGAAAUUUCUGUGUUUCUGUGUACUCUCUUUUGAAGACUGGGAUUAAAUAAAGUCACUGCCAUACUUAUUUCUAAACUAAAUAGUUAAAUGUCAAUCCUGACCCCUUAGUAGUAAAUUCCCUAUACUCCUUAAUCCAUUCAGACUCAAUAAUGAUUUUCUUUUGCCAAAGUUAUUUGACAUUUCUUAGAAGGAAUUUGGUAUGUAAAUUUGUUCAACUGU